rnacentral:rRNA from 1 species
UACGUAGGGUGCGAGCGUUGUCCGGAAUUAUUGGGCGUAAAGAGCUCGUAGGCGGUGUGUCACGUCGGCCGUGAAAACCUGCAGCUUAACUGUGGGCGUGCGGUCGAUACGGGCAUCACUGGAGUUCGGCAGGGGAGACUGGAAUUCCUGGUGUAGCGGUGAAAUGCGCAGAUAUCAGGAGGAACACCGGUGGCGAAGGCGGUUGCCUGGAGCUUUGCUGACGCUGAGGCGCGAAAGCGUGGGGAGCGAUCCGG